rnacentral:lncRNA from 1 species
AGUAAUCACUGUCCAGUGUCUGGGACACCCACAAGUCUUCCCUACCUGCCCUGAAUUGUUAGAGAAAAUAAAAGUGGCUGCCUUGAAGGUAGCCAGAGGCCCCAAGGUUAUAGGAGAGCAGAGAUUUGCCCCUGCUGGCUCUCUGAGAGGGUUGCCAUAGAGACAGAAGGAAAGAUGAGUCCAGCCUGUAUAAGUUGCCAUAUUUGGGCAAAACCCUCAGAUACUGCCUCCUCAGUGUGUUACUUUUGGAGAGAAAUGAUUAUUUCCUAAUAAUCUCCUACUAUACAAAAGAAUUUUCUAAUUAGAGGAAAAGGGAGGGAUAGCAUUUUUCUUGGGUAGGGAGGGAGAGGGAAGAAUGCAUCUGAGUGCUGGUGCAAAUCACACAAGCUUUGGAAUUGGCCAAGUCAGACACCAAACUAUGCUUCCAGCGCUCACGAGCUAUGUCCUUUCAGACAAAGGAUGCUACUUCUGAGCCUCAGUUUCCUCACGGCAAUGUGAGUAGAGUAACACCUCUCCUACAGGGCAGCAUAGAAGCAUUUAGGGAAUGUGUCCAUCUCUGGAUUUCUGCUUC